AGUCGAGCGGAAAGGCCCCUUCGGGGGUACUCGAGCGGCGAACGGGUGAGUAACACGUGAGCAACCUGCCCCUGACUCUGGGAUAAGCCCGGGAAACUGGGUCUAAUACCGGAUAUGACGCAUUCUCGCAUGGGAUGUGUGUGGAAAGUUUUUCGGUUGGGGAUGGGCUCGCGGCCUAUCAGCUUGUUGGUGGGGUGAUGGCCUACCAAGGCGACGACGGGUAACCGGCCUGAGAGGGCGACCGGUCACACUGGGACUGAGACACGGCCCAGACUCCUACGGGAGGCAGCAGUGGGGAAUAUUGCGCAAUGGGCGGAAGCCUGACGCAGCGACGCCGCGUGGGGGAUGACGGCCUUCGGGUUGUAAACCUCUUUCAGCAGGGACGAAGCUAACGUGACGGUACCUGCAGAAGAAGCGCCGGCUAACUACGUGCCAGCAGCCCGGGGUAAUUCCA
rnacentral:rRNA from 1 species